GGCUCGCCCCUGAGAUCUGACCCAAAGAAAUUUGGCGUUAGCUAUAAAUUUUGGAACGUCUCCUCUAGGGGAGACAAA
rnacentral:snRNA from 13 species